AGCUUCCAUCAGGAUAUGAGAGCAUGUUUGUUGAAGGCGUUGCUGCUCACUCUCUGAGCUAACCUUCAAUCUGUUUGUAAGCAAAGCUGUUCUGCAAUCAGGAACUGAAAAGAACUAUCCACAGUGGAGGGGGAGGCUUGUGAAAGCGUGUGAUCGUAUGGAUGUGUUUCUUCAAGGCUUGUUCACACAUUACACUGAACAAAGGAUUCCUAAUUAGGGAUGCUGCCUGGAUCUUACAAAACCGCUCCUGGUCUAGAGAAUUGUAGAUGCACUUACGUUCCAUUGAAAUAAUAAAUUCCCACCGGCCAAUCAGAAAGAAAGAUGCGUGGCCUUUUGCAGCUUCCUCAUUUGAUUUCGCAGAAUGGGUGGGCACAGGUCGGCUGAACGUGCAUCCUUGACUGGCUGCGGCGGAAGAGCCUGCUCCUGCGUCUAUGUCGAUUGGCUGUUGGUGCAGAAGGGCGGAGUUGUGAAGAGGAGCAAGU